AUGGAUGGACGGACAAGUAGGAGGUAGAUGGGUAGUGGAUGGAUGGGUGAAUGGAUGGAUAGAUGCAUGGACGGAUGGACAAGUAGGGGGUAGAUGGGUAGCGGAUGGAUGGUUGAGUGAGUGGAUGGGUGGAUGGAUGGAUGGAUGGUUGGGUAGGUGGAUGGGUGAAUGGGUGGGCAGAUGGAUGGGUAGGUGGUGGUUGGGUAGGGGGAAUGGUGGAUAGGAAGGUGGAUGGAUGGAUGAAUGGAUAGACGGAUAGAUGAAAUAGCGACAGAUGUGCCCCAGAAGUAAACAGAGAUAAUCCAUUUCAUUGACAAGGGAGAAGCCUCCAAGCACAAGCAUCAAGAGAUUCCUAGCCAGCCUGCCCUGCCAAAUGAGUUUGUCCAAAGGUAACAGGUAUACCACAUCCAGAAGACCCAUUUAUUAUAAACAACCCGGGUGGACCCCUGGUUAGAAGGAAACAACCUACCCUGGUGGCUUACAGGCGAGUCAGAAAGCUU